UAUGCUUUUCCUAAAGAUUAAGCCAUGCAUGUCUUAGACUAGGAGGAUACUAUUCUCUCUCUGAAUCUGCGAACGGCUCCGCAAACCAGUUGUAAACCAUAGCAAGGUCGACCUGGUGAGGCCCCUCGGGGCGUUAACCAGAAUACAAGGAUAACCCUGGUAAUUCUGAGGCUAAUACAUGCUAAAGCGACGCUGUCCUCGGUCUUUGUGCUUGGGGCAGGAACGUGUGAAAACAUACUGGGAUUCCUAUCGUGAAGAACGCACGUUCAGACCACCCCAGCAAUGAUGCGCCUUCGGGGCGUAUCUGGUGGCACUUGCAACGGGCUUCUGACCUAUCAACUCAAUAGCAGCGUAAGGGACAUGCUAUGGUAACAACGGGUACAGAGGAUUAGGGUUCGAUCCUGGAGAGUGGGCCUGAGAGAUUGCUCAUACUUCUAAGGAAGGCAGCAGGCGCGCAACGUUCCCCUUGGGCAUUGCUCGAGGGCGUUAUGGGAAAUAUGAAUGGCUGCCUACAAGGUGGCCAAUUCAAAUGGGUCUGUUGUAAAUAGGCUCUCGAGUAACAAUUAGAGGA
rnacentral:rRNA from 1 species